CUUUCUUGGAGAGUUUGAUCCUGGCUCAGGACGAACGCUGGCGGCGUGCCUAAUACAUGCAAGUCGAGCGGACUUGAUGGAGAGCUUGCU
rnacentral:rRNA from 1 species